rnacentral:misc_RNA from 1 species
GGUGAGUCAUCGAAUCUUUGAACGCACAUUGCGCCCGCCAGUAUUCUGGCGGGCAUGCCUGUCCGAGCGUCAUUUCAACCAUCAAGCCCCCGGCUUGUGUUGGGGACCUGCGGCACACCCGCAGGCCCUGAAAACCAGUGGCGGGCUCGCUGUCCACACCGAGCGUAGUAGCAUAUCUUUGUCUCGCUCAGGGCGUGCGGCGGGUUCCGGCCGUGAAACCCACCUUCUCGAAGGUACCCAAAGGUUGACCUCGGAUCAGGUAGGAAGACCCGCUGAACUUAAGCAUAUCAAUAAGCGGAG